AUGAAUGCCUGUCCGACCCAUUUUUCUCGUAGCUGCGCCGGUGGUCCAAACGAUGCGCCCACGCGCCUGACGCGCAGCACGACGGUUAAAGCCGAGCCGCUCGCCCCUGUUCGGGGGAGCGGCUUUUUUU
rnacentral:sRNA from 21 species